rnacentral:rRNA from 1 species
GACGAACGCUGGCGGCGUGCUUAACACAUGCAAGUCGAACGGAAAGGCCCUGCUUUUGUGGGGUGCUCGAGUGGCGAACGGGUGAGUAACACGUGAGUAACCUGCCCUUGACUUUGGGAUAACUUCAGGAAACUGGGGCUAAUACCGGAUAGGAGCUCCUGCUGCAUGGUGGGGGUUGGAAAGUUUCGGCGGUUGGGGAUGGACUCGCGGCUUAUCAGCUUGUUGGUGGGGUAGUGGCUUACCAAGGCUUUGACGGGUAGCCGGCCUGAGAGGGGGACCGGCCACAUUGGGACUGAGAUACGGCCCAGACUCGAACGGGAGGCAGCAGUGGGGAAUAUUGCACAGUGGGCGGGAGCCUGAUGCAGCAACGCCGCGUGCGGGAUGACGGCCUUCGGGUUGUAAACCGCUUUCGCCUGUGACGAAGCGUGAGUGACGGUAAUGGGUAAAGAAGCACCGGCUAACUACGUG